GACGAACGCUGGCGGCGUGCCUAAUACAUGCAAGUAGAACGCAGUUGCGAACGGGUGAGUAACGCGUCGGUAACUGCCUCAUAGCGGGGGAUAACUAUUGGAAACGAUAGCUAAUACCGCAUACUGUGAGAUGGACCUGCGUUGUAUUAGCUAGUUGGUGGGGUAAAGGCUCACCAAGGCGACGAUACAUAGCCGACCUGCGAGGGGUGUAGGCCAAACCGGGAAUGAGAAACCGCCCAGAAUCCCACUGGUGGGAAGCGUAGGGAAACUUUGGAAAUGGAGCGCAGUCUUAACGAGCCACGGCGGCGGAGUGAAGGAGGUUUUCGGAUCGUAAAACUCUGUUGUUAGAGAAGCGGUAACUAAACAGAAAGGGACGGCUAACUACGUGCCAGCAGCCGCGGUAAUUC
rnacentral:rRNA from 1 species